rnacentral:rRNA from 1 species
UCCAGACUCCUACGGGAGGCAGCAGUGGGGGAUAUUGCACAAUGGGGGGAACCCUGAUGCAGCGACGCCGCGUGGGUGAAGGAGCGUUUCGGCGCGUAAAGCCCUCUCGGCAGGGAAGAAGGAGGACGGUACCUGACUAAGAAGCCCCGGCCAACUACGUGCCAGCAGCCGCGGUAAUACGUAGGGGGCAAGCGUUAUCCGGAUUUACUGGGUGUAAAGGGGGCGCAGACGGCAGCGCAAGCCAGGAGUGAAAGCCCGGGGCCCAACCCCGGGACUGCUCUUGGAACUGCGCGGCUGGAGUGCAGGAGGGGCAGGCGGAAUUCCUGGUGUAGCGGUGAAAUGCGUAGAUAUCAGGAGGAACACCGGUGGCGAAGGCGGCCUGCUGGACUGCGACUGACGUUGAGGCCCGAAAGCGUGGGGAGCAAACAGGAUUAGAUACCCCGGUAGC